AGUUCAGCUGGUUAGAAUACAUGCCUGUCACGCAUGGGGUCGCGGGUUCGAGUCCCGUC
rnacentral:tRNA from 2 species